rnacentral:rRNA from 1 species
UACGUAGGGGCUAGCGUUAUCCGGAAUUACUGGGCGUAAAGGGUGCGUAGGCGGUCUUUCAAGCCAGAAGUGAAAGGCUACGGCUCAACCGUAGUAAGCUUUUGGAACUGUAAGACUUGAGUGCAGGAGAGGAGAGUGGAAUUCCAUGUGUAGCGGUGAAAUGCGUAGAGAUAUGGAGGAACACCAGUGGCGAAGGCGGCUUCCUGGUCUGUAACUGACACUGAGGCGCGAAAGCGUGGGGAGCAAACAGGAUUAGAUACCCGCGUAGU